ACACGUAGGUGGCAAGCGUUGUCCGGAAUUACUGGGUGUAAAGGGCGUGUAGGCGGGAGAGCAAGUCAGAUGUGAAAGCCCAUGGCUCAACUGUGGGACUGCAUCUGAAACUGUUCUUCUUGAGUACUGGAGAGGAAAGCGGAAUUCCACGUGUAGCGGUGAAAUGCGUAGAGAUGUGGAGGAACACCAGUGGCGAAGGCGGCUUUCUGGACAGUAACUGACGCUGAGGCGCGAAAGCGUGGGGAGCGAACAGGAUUAGAUACCCUGGUAGUCCACGCUGUAAACGAUGAAUACUAGGUGUAGGGGGUAUCGACCCCUUCUGUGCCGGAGUUAACACAAUAAGUAUUCCACCUGGGGAGUACGACCGCAAGGUUGAA
rnacentral:rRNA from 1 species